CCGCCGGCUGAGCGCAGCUCGGUGCGGGGCACGCAGCCCGUUUGGGCACGGGGCGCUCCGAGGAGCGGAGCGGAGCGGAGCUGAGCUGAGCUGAGCGCGG
rnacentral:miRNA from 12 species